CAUGGGUCUUUACGAUGGCAAACCGGUGAACCCCGCCAGGUCCGAGAGGAAGCAACGGCAGCCGUCUUUGCCAGGCGUAAAACCGCCCGGAAAG
rnacentral:SRP_RNA from 1 species